CAUCAGAGCGUUGCCGUGGUAACUCGCAGAAACGCUCUGAUUGGCCAGUUCUCGCGAGACACACGGUCUGCAGCUCUGCUCACUGCGUAGUUGAAGUCCGGUGUCUGCGGUGGCUGGCUGGGCAGACAGGAGGGACCUCGCACCCGGGGGCAUAACGGGCAAGCAGCCGGGCCCCCUCCUGGUGUUGGGUCCUCAGUCACUGACCGAGGACCCGACACAGUCUGCCCACAGG